CAUUUAUAUCUUUUUUCACUUUCAGGUCAAUGGGAAUGCUCCUAGGGAAGAUGUUUUUGCUGAAAUAGACAGUGCACUCUCCUCAGUUCUUGAGAAGAAGGCGAAGCUGGAUUCAUCAUCAAUGGCUGCUGGUACAAAGAUCAUCGACAACAAUGUUUCGCCAAAUUAGCGAUCGAUCCAGGCAGGAAACUCAAGAAUAAAGUGUAGCUCUCGAUAGCUUUUAAGCAAAAGUUACGAUUGUACUAAGUUCAGACCUUUGAAAAUUAUUCAGAUAAAGAAUGUAAUGAUUCGUUCUUUUAAUACAGUUCAAUUUGUAA